rnacentral:rRNA from 1 species
UGGGGAAUAUUGGACAAUGGGCGAAAGCCUGAUCCAGCCAUGCCGCGUGUGUGAAGAAGGUCUUCGGAUUGUAAAGCACUUUAAGUUGGGAGGAAGGGCAGUUACCUAAUACGUGAUUGUUUUGACGUUACCGACAGAAUAAGCACCGGCUAACUCUGUGCCAGCAGCCGCGGUAAUACAGAGGGUGCAAGCGUUAAUCGGAAUUACUGGGCGUAAAGCGCGUGUAGGUGGUUUGUUAAGUUGGAUGUGAAAUCCCCGGGCUCAACCUGGGAACUGCAUUCAAAACUGACUGACUAGAGUAUGGUAGAGGGUGGUGGAAUUUCCUGUGUAGCGGUGAAAUGCGUAGAUAUAGGAAGGAACACCAGUGGCGAAGGCGACCACCUGGACUAAUACUGACACUGAGGUGCGAAAGCGUGGGGAGCAAACA